GACGAACGCUGGCGGCGUGCUUAACACAUGCAAGUCGAACGAAGUGGCGAACGGGUGAGUAACGCGUAAUCAACCUGCCCUUCAGAGGGGGACAACAGUUGGAAACGACUGCUAAUACCGCAUACUGAAGGAGGGGAUUGCGUCUGAUUAGCUAGGUGGAGGGGUAAUUGCCCACCAAGGCGAUGAUCAGUAGCCGGUUUGAGAGGGUGACCGGCCCCGUUGGGACUGAUCCACGGCCCUGACUCCUACUGGAGGCAGCAGUGGGGAAUCUUCCGCGAUGGACGAAAGUCUGACGGCGCAACGCCGCGUGAGUGAUGACGGCCUUCGGGUUGUAAAGCUCUGUUAAUCGGGACGCGGUACCGGAUUAGAAAGCCACGGCUAACUACGUGCCAGCCGCCGCGGUAAUU
rnacentral:rRNA from 1 species